UACGUAGGGAGCAAGCGUUGUCCGGAAUCAUUGGGCGUAAAGCGCGCGUAGGCGGCCCUGUAAGUCCGCUGUGAAAGUCAAAGGCUCAACCUUUGAAUGCCGGUGGAUACUGCAGGGCUAGAGUCCGGAAGAGGCAAGUGGAAUUCCUGGUGUAGCGGUGGAAUGCGCAGAUAUCAGGAGGAACACCAACGGCGAAGGCAGCUUGCUAGGACGGUACUGACGCUAAGGCGCGAAAGCGUGGGGAGCGAACGAGG
rnacentral:rRNA from 1 species